AGAGUUUGAUCCUGGCUCAGGAUGAACGCUGGCGGCGUGCCUAAUACAUGCAAGUCGAGCGAACGGACGAGAAGCUUGCUUCUCUGAUGUUAGCGGCGGACGGGUGAGUAACACGUGGAUAACCUACCUAUAAGACUGGGAUAACUUCGGGAAACCGGAGCUAAUACCGGAUAAUAUAUUGAACCGCAUGGUUCAAUAGUGAAAGACGGUUUUGCUGUCACUUAUAGAUGGAUCCACGCCGCAUUAGCUAGUUGGUAAGGUAACGGCUUACCAAGGCAACGAUGCGUAGCCGACCUGAGAGGGUGAUCGGCCACACUGGAACUGAGACACGGUCCAGACUCCUACGGGAGGCAGCAGUAGGGAAUCUUCCGCAAUGGGCGAAAGCCUGACGGAGCAACGCCGCGUGAGUGAUGAAGGUCUUCGGAUCGUAAAACUCUGUUAUUAGGGAAGAACAAAUGUGUAAGUAACUAUGCACGUCUUGACGGUACCUAAUCAGAAAGCCACGGCUAACUACGUGCCAGCAGCCGCGGUAAUACGUAGGUGGCAAGCGUUAUCCGGAAUUAUUGGGCGUA
rnacentral:rRNA from 1 species